rnacentral:lncRNA from 1 species
UGAGAAUAUUUUUCAUAGAUCCAUCAUCAUUCAAAGAGGUUGAGAAAAUAUUUUUGUAUUUUUUGACAAAUCAAUUAAAAAAUUGAUGAGAAUAUUUUUCAUAGAUCCAUCAUCAUUCAAAGAGGUUGAGAAAAUAUUUUUGUAUUUUUUGAAUAUCAAAAACUAAUUAAAAUGAAUUAAAAAUAACCAGAAAUGAGAAAAUU